rnacentral:rRNA from 1 species
UAGGGAAUCUUCCACAAUGGACGCAAGCCUGAUGGAGCAACGCCGCGUGAGUGAAGAAGGUUUUCGGACCGUAAAGCUCUGUUGUUGGUGAAGAAGGAUAGAGGUAGUAACUGGCCUUUAUUUGACGGUAAUCAACCAGAAAGUCACGGCUAACUACGUGCCAGCAGCCGCGGUAAUACGUAGGUGGCAAGCGUUGUCCGGAUUUAUUGGGCGUAAAGCGAGCGCAGGCGGAAGAAUAAGUCUGAUGUGAAAGCCCUCGGCUUAACCGAGGAAUUGCAUCGGAAACUGUUUUCUUGAGUGCAGAAGAGGAGAGUAGAACUCCAUGUGUAGCGGUGGAAUGCGUAGAUAUAUGGAAGAAUACCAGUGGCGAAGGCGGCUCUCUGGUCUGCAACUGACGCUGAGGCUCGAAAGCAUGGGUAGCGAACAGGAUUAGAUACCCUGGUAGUCCAUGCCGUAAACGAUGAGUGCUAAGUGUUGGGAGGCUUCCGCCUCUCAGUGCUGCAGCUAACGCAUUAAGCACUCCGCCUGGGGGAGUACGACCGCAAGGUUGAAAC